rnacentral:tRNA from 1 species
GUGGUGGCUUAGUGGUAGAGUGCUUGUCUACCAUCCACAAAGUACUGGGUUUGAUCCUCAGCACCACA